AAUUAAUAGGGAGGCAAGAGACAACCUGGCGAACUGAAACAUCUUAGUAGCCAGAGGAAAAGAAAGCAAAAGCGAUUCCCUGAGUAGUGGCGAGCGAAAUGGGAACAGCCUAAACCGCCCAACUGGGCGGGGUUGUGGGAGAGCGACAUAAGCUACGAGUUACUAGACGAAGCAGCUGAGUCCUGCACCUUAGACGGUGAUAGUCCAGUAGUUGAAAGUAUCUCUAGCAAACGCUAUUACCCGAGUAGCAUGGGGCACGUGGAAUCCCGUGUGAAUCAGCGAGGACCACCUCGUAAGGCUAAAUACUCCUGGGUGACCGAUAGUGAAGUAGUACCGUGAGGGAAAGGUGAAAAGAACCCCCAUCGGGGAGUGAAAUAGAACAUGAAACCGUAAGCCUCCAAGCAGUGGGAGGAGAAUGGAAUCUCUGACCGCGUGCCUGUUGAAGAAUGAGCCGGCGACUUAUAGGUAGUGGCCUGGUUAAGGCGCUUAUAUCAAACGCCGGAGCCAUAGCGAAAGCGAGUCUUUCUAGGGCGAAUGUCACUACUUAUGGACCCGAACCCGGGUGAUCUAACCAUGGCCAGGGUGAAGCUUGGGUGAAGCCAAGUGGAGGUCCGAACCGACUGAUGUUGAAAAAUCAGCGGAUGAGCUGUGGUUAGGGGUGAAAUGCCACUCGAACUCGGAGCUAGCUGGUUCUCCCCGAAAUGCGUUGAGGCGCAGCGGUUGACUGGACUGCCUAGGGGUAAAGCACUGUUUCGGUGCGGGCUGCGAAAGCGGUACCAAAUCGAGGCAAACUCUGAAUACUAGGUUUUUUAUAACGGUCAGCCAGUAAGACGGUGGGGGAUAAGCUUCAUCGUCGAGAGGGAAACAGCCCAGACCACCAGCUAAGGCCCCUAAAUGACCGCUCAGUGGCAAAGGAGGUGAGAGUGCAAAGACAGCCAGGAGGUUUGCCUAGAAGCAGCCACCCUUGAAAGAGUGCGUAAUAGCUCACUGAUCGAGCGCUCUUGCGCCGAAGAUGAACGGGACUAAGCGGUCUGCCGAAGCUGUGGGAUGCCCUCUUCAAUGGAAGGAGGGCGUCGGUAGGGGAGCGUUCCGCAAAAGGGAGAAGCAUCAGUGCAAACAGGUGUGGACGAAGCGGAAGUGAGAAUGUCGGCUUGAGUAACGCAAACAUUGGUGAGAAUCCAAUGCCCCGAAAACCCAAGGGUUCCUCCGCAAGGCUCGUCCACGGAGGGUGAGUCAGGGCCUAAGAUCAUGCCGAACGGCGCAGUCGAUGGACAACAGGUCAAGAUUCCUGUACUGCCCCUUGUUGGCAAGAAGAGGGACGGAGGAGGCUAAGCUAGCCGAACAAUGGUCAUCGGUUCAAGGGCGUGUAAGCGCCUGAGUACUAGGCACCUACGGGGCCGAAGUAGCUGAUGCCACGCUCCCAAGAAAAGCUCUUACGCCAAUACUCCCUAAGGUUCGAAGAAUCACAUCUAAGACGCCGCAAAGCGUUAACUUCGUACCUACGGAGGUUGCGCUUCCACAGCGCGUUAUUGCUUCGUUGUAAACAACCUAUGGACCCGGAUGGCCAGUGGCCAUCCGGGUUCGAUGGUUGAACGAAGCAGGCGCGAAGUUUGUGGGGGAGCGAACAAAAAGAAGACAAGUGGGCACCUGUACCCGAAACCGACACAGGUGGGUAGGUUGAGAAUACCUAGGGGCGCGAGACAACUCUCUCUAAGGAACUCGGCAAGAUGGCCCCGUAACUUCGGGAGAAGGGGUGCCCCUCUGGGCCGCAGUGACCAGGCCCAGGCGACUGUUUACCAAAAACACAGGUCUCCGCAAAGUCGAAAGACGACGUAUGGGGGCUGACGCCUGCCCAGUGCCGGAAGGUUAAGGAAGUCGGUGACUCGAGUACGGGGAAGCUGGCGACCGAAGCCCCGGUGAACGGCGGCCGUAACUAUAACGGUCCUAAGGUUGAUUGUYCGUUCUAAAGAACAUCCGAAGACGCUAGCCUUAGUAAAACCAAACUAUAUGCUGGAAACUCCUCAAAAACUUAAUAACUACUCGUUGUAGUUUUUUGGUCCGCCAUUUCCAUUAAGAUACUGCGCACUGGUGCGAANACUUGCGAUAGGGCCAAGCCAAAAAAUAGAAACUGCAGCAGUCAAAAUGUUAAAGACACGGGGACAAUCAGCAGGAAAGAUUCAGAAGGUACUUCUGAAAAUCCUCAGAGACUAUACGUUUGGAGAUUUUCAUGAACUUAGAAACACAGUGGAUUGUUGGUUUUGUCGAUGGAGAAGGGUGUUUUCAUGUUGCUAUCAACAAGAAUAAAGAAACAGCUCUUGGAGUUCAAAUACAACCAGAAUUUACUGUCGUUCAGCACGAAAAAGAUAUCCAAGUUCUUUAUGCACUCAAAGAGUAUUUUGAAUGUGGAGUUGUUCGGCGAAAUCAUGGCGAUAGAUUUGCUUAUCGAGUUCGUGGUGCGAAGCAUCUUCGUGACAAGAUUAUUCCGUUCUUUGAAGAACACAAGUUGAAAACAAAGAAACGGAUUGACUUCGAAAAAUUCCGAAAGGUUGUUCUUAUGAUGGAACGUGGUGAGCAUCUCACCGAAGAUGGAGUCAAGGCAAUUCAAAAGAUUCAAGAAGAUAUGAAUCGAAAAGCCUAUAAAAAAGCCCUAUAAAUUUUGGAUCGACAGUAAGUUCCGUUUCUAGCUUCACUUCUGUUAGCGAGUUCUAGCUUUCUGCCCAUAAAUGGCCUUAUGGAGAAGAAGAGAAAAUCUAAGAUAGAGUCCAGCUUUUUGUGAAAGMAAAGAGAGAAACUGAGCGAAAUUCCUUGUCUGGUAAGUUCAGACCCGCACGAAAGGCGUAACGAUCUGGGCACUGUCUCGGAGAGAGGCUCGGUGAAAUAGACUUGUCUGUGAAGAUGCGGACUACCUGCACCUGGACAGAAAGACCCUAUGAAGCUUUACUGUUCCCUGGGAUGGGGUUUGGGCCCUUCUUGCGCAGUCUAGGUGGGAGGCGAAGACGGCGUCCUUCCGGGGACGCUCGAGCCGAAGAUGAGAGACCACCCUAGAAGGGCUAGGAUUCUAACCUUAUGCCUAGAAGAAGGCUAGGGGACAGUCCCAGGUAGACAGUUUCUAUGGGGCGUAGGCCUCCCAAAGGGUAACGGAGGCGUGCAAAGGUUUCCUCAGGCUGGACGGAAAUCAGCCUUCGAGUGCAAAGGCAGAAGGGAGCUUGACUGCAAGACCUACCCGUCGAGCAGGGACGAAAGUCGGCCUUAGUGAUCCGACGGUUCCGAGUGGAAGGGCCGUCGCUCAACGGAUAAAAGUUACUCUAGGGAUAACAGGCUGAUCUUCCCCAAGAGUUCACA
rnacentral:rRNA from 1 species